rnacentral:antisense_RNA from 1 species
GUGGUCAGAAAGGCGACGGGCUGUCGGAGUUGGAAAGGAGUUUUGCUCUUAUUGCCCAGGCUAGAGUGCAAUGGCACGAUCUCAGCUCACUGCAACGUCUGCCUCCCAGGUUCAAGCGAUUCUCCUGCCUCAGCCUCCCGAGUAGCUGGGAUUACAGGGCCUACUGCAGUGCAUGAAGGUGGUAUGAACUCAGAACUCUGAAGUCUGAGGAGACAAAUACAUGCCCACCAUAACAACAUCACACAAUACCUAGAGUCAAAACAGUUAUCCCUAUUCCUACCCCCAACUGAGUUAUUCAAUAAAGCCUGCCUUAUUGA